AAAGUCCGCAAGGAUGAGUAAAGCGGCGAACGGGUGAGUAACACGUAGGUAACCUGCCUUUCAGUCUGGGACAACCUGUCGAAAGACGGGCUAAUACUAGAUAAGACCACGACUCUUUUGGGAGCAGUGGUAAACGAUGGCCUCUUCAUGAAAGCUAUCACUGAAAGAUGGGCCUGCGUACCAUUAGCUAGUUGGCAGGGUAAUGGCCUACCAAGGCUACGAUGGUUAGCUGAUCUGAGAGGAUGAUCAGCCACACUGGAACUGAAACACGGUCCAGACUCCUACGGGAGGCAGCAGUGGGGAAUAUUGCGCAAUGGGGGAAACCCUGACGCAGCAACGCCGCGUGAGUGACGAAGGCCUUCGGGUCGUAAAGCUCUGUCGGAGGGGAAGAAACUAUUUGGCGCUAACAUCGCCAGAUAUUGACGGUACCCUCAAAGGAAGCACCGGCUAACUCCGUGCCAGCAGCCGCGGUAAUACGGAGGGUGCAAGCGUUGUUCGGAAUUACUGGGCGUAAAGCGCGUGUAGGUGGCUUAUUAUGUCAGGUGUGAAAGCCCUCGGCCUAACCGAGGAAGUGCGCCUGAAACUGAUAGGCUUGAGUACGAGAGAGGAGGACGGAAUUCCCAGUGUAGAGGUGAAAUUCGUAGAUAUUGGGAGGAACACCGGUGGCGAAAGCGGUUCUCUGGAUCGAUACUGACGCUAAGACGCGAAAGCGUGGGGAGCAAACAGGAUUAGAUACCCUGGUAGUCCACGCCGUAAACGAUGGAUAUUAGUUGUUGCGAGUUUAACCCUCGCAGUGACGACGCUAACGCAUUAAAUAUCCCGCCUGGGAAGUACGGCCGCAAGGGUUAAAACUC
rnacentral:rRNA from 1 species